GGCCUGGCUGGGUGGUCUUGCCGAAAGGUAAGCACUGCUCUGGUCGGGUCUUUCCUUCUGGGGAACCAGCGUGCUCUUAAUUGAGUGCGUUGGGGAUCCAGGACUUUUACUUUGAAAAAAUUAGAGUGUUCAAAGCAGGCUUACGCCCGAAUACAUUAGCAUGGAAUAAUAAAAUAGGAC
rnacentral:rRNA from 1 species